UACGUAGGGUGCAAGCGUUGUCCGGAAUUAUUGGGCGUAAAGAGCUCGUAGGCGGUUUGUCGCGUCUGCUGUGAAAACGCGGGGCUCAACUCCGCGCCUGCAGUGGGUACGGGCAGACUAGAGUGCAGUAGGGGAGACUGGAAUUCCUGGUGUAGCGGUGGAAUGCGCAGAUAUCAGGAGGAACACCGGUGGCGAAGGCGGGUCUCUGGGCUGUAACUGACGCUGGAGGAGCGAAAGCGUGGGUAGCGAACAGG
rnacentral:rRNA from 1 species